UACGGGGGGGGCAAGCGUUGUUCGGAAUUACUGGGCGUAAAGGGCUCGUAGGUGGCCAACUAAGUCAGACGUGAAAUCCCUCGGCUUAACCGGGGAACUGCAUCUGAUACUGGAUGGCUUGAGUUUGGGAGAGGGAUGCGGAAUUCCAGGUGUAGCGGUGAAAUGCGUAGAUAUCGAGAGGAACACCGGUGGCGAAGGCGGCGAUCUGGACGAUGACUGACGCUGAGACGCGAAAGCGUGGGGAGCAAACAGG
rnacentral:rRNA from 1 species